rnacentral:rRNA from 1 species
UACUAGAGUAGCACUCGCAUAUCAAUAAGCGGAGGAAAAGAAACUAACAAGGAUUCCCCUAGUAACGGCGAGUGAAGCGGGAAGAGCUCAAAUUUGAAAUCUUAAAGGGUUUCCCUUUACGAAUUGUAGUUUAAAGAAGUGUUUUCUGUUGAGGUUUUGGUAAAAGUUCUUUGGAAUAGGACAUCAUAGAGGGUGAGAAUCCCGUAUUUGACCUUUACUUUCAACUUUGUGAUACACUUUCAAAGAGUCGGAUUGUUUGGGAAUGCAGUCCGAAAUGGGUGGUAAAUUUCAUCUAAAGCUAAAUAUUGGCGAGAGACCGAUAGCGAACAAGUACCGUGAGGGAAAGAUGAAAAGAACUUUGAAAAGAGAGUUAAACAGUACGUGAAAUUGUCAAAAGGGAAGCGUUUGACACCAGUGUUGUUUUUCUGAAAAUCAAUUAAAGAACUGUUUAUGCUAAGUUGUUUAGACUUUAUCAGCUAACUGUUUAGUUUUGAGCUUUUCUUUAAUGCACUUUUCAGUUAACAAGUCAACAUCAAUUUCUUUUGCUGUAAAAAAGCUUGAGGAAGGUGGCUUGAGAUUCGUCUUAAGUGUUUAUAGCCUCUUGCCUAUGCAGUCGGAGAGAUUGAGGUCUGCAGCGUAGAUCCUUCGGGGCUAAAUGCAUUUGUGCUAAGUUAUAGCAUUUUAUAGACAACUUGUUGACUAUGAUUUGUCUUGUAGCUUACUCGCUUAUGUUAUUUUACCUACGCUUAGGAUGUUGAGUAGCGACAUACGCAC